rnacentral:rRNA from 1 species
CGAAAGCCUGACGCAGCCACGCCGCGUGAGUGAUGAAGGCCUUCGGGUCGUAAAACUCUGUCGGGAGGGACGAAGGGGCAACCCUGACGGUACCUCGCAAGAAAGCACCGGCUAACUCUGUGCCAGCAGCCGCGGUAAUACAGAGGGUGCAAGCGUUGCUCGGAUUUAUUGGGCGUAAAGCGCACGCAGACGGUAUGGAAGGUCGGACGUGAAAUCCCUGGGCUCAACCUAGGAACUGCGUUCGAAACCACCAAACUAGAGUUCGGAAGAGGGAGGCGGAAUUCCUGGUGUAGAGGUGAAAUUCGUAGAUAUCAGGAGGAACACCAGCGGCGAAGGCGGCUUCCUGGUCCGAUACUGACGUUCAGGUGCGAAAGCGUGGGUAGCAAACAGGAUUAGAUACCCUGGUAGUCCACGCUGUAAACGAUGAGUGCUAGAUGUUGGGGGUAUUCACUCCCUCGGUAUCGAAGCUAACGCGCUAAGCACUCCGCCUGGGGAGUACGGCCGCAAGGUCGAAACUCAAAGGAAUUGACGGGGGCCCGCACAAGCGGUGGAGUAUGUGGUUUAAUUCGACGCAACGCGCAGAACCUUACCCAGCCUUGACAUCCCUGGAAUUCGGUGGAAACAUCGGAGUGUCCUCGCAAGAGGAAGCCAGGAGACAGGUGCUGCAUGGCUGUCGUCAGCUCGUGUCGUGAGAUGUUCGGUUAAGUCCGGCAACGAGCGCAACCCCUGUCGUCAGUUGCCAUCAUUCAGUUGGGAACUCUGACGAAACUGCCGGCGUCAAGCCGGAGGAAGGUGGGGAUGACGUCAAGUCCUCAUGGCCUUUAUGGCUGGGGCUACACACGUACUACAAUGGUAGGUACAAAGGGGAGUAAGACCGCGAGGUGGAGCCAAUCCCAAAAAACCUGCCUAAGUUCAGAUUGCAGUCUGCAACUCGACUGCAUGAAGUCGGAAUCGCUAGUAAUCGCGGAUCAGAAUGCCGCGGUGAGUACGUUCCCGGGCCUUGUACACACCGCCCGUCACACCACGAAAGUUGGAUGGACCCGAAGUGGCUGGCCCAACCCGCAAGGGAAGGAGGUCCCUACGGUCUGUUCGAUGAUUGGGGUGAAGUCGUAACAAGGUAGCCGUAGGGGAACCUGCGGCUG